rnacentral:tRNA from 1 species
GCAUUUGGUCUAGUGGUAUGAUUCUCGCUUAGGGUGCGAGAGGUCCUGAGUUCAAUUCUCGGGGAAUGCC